UUUUCUUAAAGGGAACGACGCGUGAAUAAAACGUUUAGAUUUAAGAUGAAAAUUAAAAAAAUGAAGGUAAGCUGCAAACCGGUAGAAUAUUACAGAGAAGAGAAGAGAGGAAAAGAAAAGUGAACAAACUUUAACACCUUUUCAGGUGUGUGUGCAUUGUGCAGAACGGCGGCCACAGGUGGUGAGGAGAAUAAGAAGAAGAAGAAGAAGAUGAAGAAGAAGAAGAAGAAGAAGAAGAAGAAGAAGAAGAAGAAGAAGAAGAUGACUCAAACCUCAACAAGAUCCUUGAAUCUCCAGACGAGGGUUCGUCCUGCUCCUGAUCCUGAACUAGAACCAACUGGACCGGUCACGUUGGAGGGAUGAAUUUGGAAAGGUGGCACUGCGACACAUGGACAUCACAAGAGCAGCUGCUGGAGGAAUGGACCAGUCGCUCCGAGCUGCUUCAACAUGGUGGGUUUCCUACAGUUUGCAUAUUGUGAAUCAUUUUCAUCCCCACCACAAGUAGUUAAUUUUUUAAGCAAUACAAUCUGAUGUAAGUCUGGGCAUGGCUGCGGCAGAUUUUCCCAACCCCCCUCUCUCCCUCUCUCUCCCUCCCUCUCUCUCUCUCUCUCUCUCUGAAUCCCUCCCCAGCACACACACACAUACACACACGCACACACACGCACAGUGCUCCAAAAUAUUUCUUUCCACCACGGUGGGGGCUUCCAGUGAGACUAUAAGGUGGCCAUGUUUGAUAGAUGUGUGUCGGGCUCUGCAAUGCAGGAAAGCGAGAGUUGUUGCGUGUGAUCCUGCAAAAGUGACAGUGACACCAGGGGGAGUGGGUCGGAUUCGUGACUGAU